UAACUACCCCUGUUACCCAAUCAUGUUUUCUUUGGGAAAAACAAUCUAGAGAAAAUGAGGUAGAGAAUAUGAACUGAAGGCUUCUUGUGGCAGUGUCUCCCCAGUAACCAAUAUCACCCCUUCCUGCCACAUACAACUCAUGUCUACGGGUGUUUAAUAGUCACGUCUCUCCUCCAGCCACAUUGAGAGGAUACAGUCCCUACAGUGACCACAUGGCGUGGUGAGGAAAGUGGGGCUAGAGGGCACUCAGUCAAGGAACUUGCCCAACUUCACGAUGAGAUGCAGGUGGAUGGAACCAGUAGGACUGAUACUCCAAAUCUGACCUUGCUCUUCCCAGCCCAGAGCUUCUCCCUAUCCCCCUGCACCUGACUCAGGUGACUCAGCUUCAAAUAGCUCAUGAACUUUUCACCUUGCCAUCUUUCCCAAGCCAGAAUUUCUGCCUGCUUCCAUCACCAGCAACCCGAAGACAGAUGUCACAGCAAUUCUGGAGCUAGUCUGUCCUUUCUUGAAACUUCCAAACAAGGGGUCAGCUAAGAUCACUGUCAGAUAUCGGCUCUGCCUCUGGCACAGAGGAAGGACCACAACUCCCUCCGAUGAGACUCACCUCACUGCCCCACUGGGAAAAGGCUCUUUUCAGGCUGGAAGUCAACAGCAUCAUGGGCAAGGAGUUGACAGCUGAACAGAAAAGGAGACAAUAGUUGCUUCAGAAGAGCAGGCCAGUGCCUGAGAAAGAGGCCAGCCCACUGAUGAGUGGAACCAUCCCUAUGCCACAGGCCAAGGGAAGGACGGGGUGCUUUCCACAAAGAUGCAUUGUGUUCAGUUCCCAAAGCCAAGACCUGUUUGCCCAAGCCUGGUGCCCCACAGUCACGGCCUGAGGAAGGUCUUCUGGAGGAGAGGGGGACGUGCUGUGUGGCGCUGCCUUCCCUUUGAGCCGUCCUGACAGAAACAGCACCAGGCCCCGGGUGCCUGCCGGCUCCCCUUUGGAGUAUGUUCCAUUCAUCAUUGCCUUUGGGGGCAGCUAAGCGGAGGGCUGGAAAGAGAAACAAAAAAAUGACACAAGCUUCCAAAAACACAGUGAUCACCUCUUCUAGCAUUAAAAUUCUAUGACUAUGGAAUGUCUCCUAAAAUGUGACAUCAUAUAAGAAUAUAGGCUUUACUAGUCUCUCAUCCUACAAGGUAAGGAGGAGCCAGACACUUUUCUCCUAAUAAAAGACGGAAUGGGGAUCCGAAAGUGUGAUGGCUCCCUCAAGGUCACAGCAGGUGAGCCACAGAAAUGGGAGUUGAACCUGGCAUCUCUACUUCUAGCUUGGAGGCAUUUCUCAAAACAGCCAUCUGUCACCACUAAAAAAGGGAGUCUCUUUACUUCCCAUCAACCACCUUAGAAUGAACUCAAGUGGUUCAAAGGAACAGUAAAAAGGAGAGAAAAUUUUGUAUUUGUGUUGAUGGUGCCACUGGUAUUUCAUUUAAUCUUCUCCAUAACCCCAUGAAGUAGGAAGUAUCUCCAUUUUACAGAUGAGGAUAAGGAGGAGAGAAGGGGCAAAGGAAUUUCUCCAAGUGCCCAAGACUGGUGAGUGAUGAAGCCAGAAUUCAUCCAGAGAUAAAGCACGUGUUCUUACCUCAUAUCACACAGUCUUGGGGUCUUCAUCACGAUCGAUGCAUUCAGGGACAUGCCAACCUCACAUGAUAGGUCUGGAUUUCUUGAAAGGCUAUAUCCAGGUCAAAGAAGGGGAAAAAAAGUAAUUUGUCACAGCAAAGGCAGUUGUGAAGUUAAUGCGGUUUAUCCACAGACCUACGAUAAAAUGCAUCAAGUGCUUUUUGUUCUUGGAAAUCUUCAUGUUAAGAUUGAUCUCACUCUACCAAAAGAGCUUCUUUAUUCUAUGUGUGUUGACAAUGCUGUUCCAAGGCAGAUGGAGUUCUUCUGUACAGCAAGAAGCAUACUCUGCAUUCAAGUCUUCUUAUCUUAGAACCUGAAGGAAAGAGAUGCCUCUUACUUUCCCACUUUAAUAAAGCAGACACGUUCUCUGAUUAAACCAAAUUGGGUCAU